AGCUGCGCGAGACCCCGGGGCUGGUGGUGCCUCUGGUGGAGGAGCUGCUGCGGUUCGAGCCCCCGGUGCAGCUGC
rnacentral:tRNA from 1 species